GGUUGCAAUCUGCUUUGUCGAUAUGAGCUCUCAAAAACAAUUACGUUGUUGUCCCUAAGGUAACUUAAUCUUAUGAUCAUAAAUUAUGGAUCAAAACAACAAACAUAAAUAAAUGAUAUAAUAAUGAAGAGUUUAUUUAUUCUUCAUGUCACCCCAACAAAACAU